GUCGUGCGCGAUCCGUAGCAAUACGGGGAGAGCGGCGAAAGGGAGAGGAUAGCAUAGAUACCUACCCUCGGACCUGGGAUAGCUAUGGGAAACUAUAGGUAAUAUCAGACAAUGUCUCCGGACCAAAGGUGUGAUUCCGUCCGGGGAGGGGUCUAUGUCCUAUUAGCUUGUUGGUGAGGUAACGGCUCACCAAGGCCAAGAUGGGUACGAGGCGUGAGAGCGUGUCCUCGCUCACUGGGACUGAGACACUGCCCAGACACCUACGGGUGGCUGCAGUCGAGAAUCUUCGGCAAUGGGGGAAACCCUGACCGAGCGACGCCGCGUGCGGGAUGAAGGCCUUCGGGUUGUAAACCGCUGUCAGUGCGGAGGAAAUGUAGUGGGGUUCUCCCCAUUAUUUGACCUAUGCGCAGAGGAAGGACGGGCUAAGUUCGUGCCGGCAGCCGCGGUAAUACGAACCGUCCAAACGUUAUUCGGAAUCACUGGGCUUAAAGGGUGCGUAGGCGGCGUGAUAAGUUGGGUGUGAAAUACCUCGGCCUAACCGAGGAAUUGCGCCCAAUACUGUUAUGCUCGAGGAAGACAUAGGUGAGCGGAACUUAGGGUGGAGCGGUGAAAUGCGUUGAUAUC
rnacentral:rRNA from 1 species